rnacentral:rRNA from 1 species
GGGUUGUGAGGUUAAGCGACUAAGCGUACACGGUGGAUGCCCUGGCAGUCAGAGGCGAUGAAGGACGUGCUAAUCUGCGAUAAGCGUCGGUGAGGUGAUAUGAACCGUUAUAACCGGCGAUUUCCGAAUGGGGAAACCCAGUGUGUUUCGACACACUAUCAUUAACUGAAUCCAUAGGUUAAUGAGGCGAACCGGGGGAACUGAAACAUCUAAGUACCCCGAGGAAAAGAAAUCAACCGAGAUUCCCCCAGUAGCGGCGAGCGAACGGGGAGGAGCCCAGAGCCUGAAUCAGUGUGUGUGUUAGUGGAAGCGUCUGGAAAGGCGCGCGAUACAGGGUGACAGCCCCGUACACAAAAAUGCACA